UUGUGUUUAGUUCAUAAGAAUGGAAAAAGAAGAAGGGUAACUCGAUUUUGAGAGCAUUAAGAGCUUCAAAUUGGUUGUUCAUGGUGGUUAGGGUAUUGAUAACAAUGACAAUCUUGUAAUUACUUGAUGAUGAUGAGCGUGAGAGAGUAAAAAUGUCAUUUUCGAAAAAAAAAAAAAUUGAUGGUAUUUUCGUGAAUUAUAUGAACUUGUGGGGUUAAUAGGGCAAAACCAAUUUCAAAAAAAAAGAAAGAUUAGUUAUGUGUUUGACUUUAAGUUGUAGGUCAAUCCUGCAAAAAACCCUUCAUAUUUAAGGCACGAUAAUAAAAUGUUUUUACAAACCCCUUGCUAGUUUGACGGGCCAAUCCCAGUGUUUAACCCCAUAGUAAAAUAACCUUGGUUGAAUCAUGACGUAGUUACCCAAGUUGGAAGCCCAUACCCUU
rnacentral:lncRNA from 1 species